AGGAUGAACGCUGGCGGCGUGCCUAACACAUGCAAGUCGAACGUCCUGUCUCGCAAGAGGCAGGGAGUGGCGGACGGGUGAGUACCACGUGGGUCAUCUACCGUGAGGUGAGGAAUACCGGCGAGAAAUCGCCGACAAGACCGCAUAGCCUCGGUGCAAGUUGAGCAAAGCUCUUUCGAGAGAGGGAGCGCCACACGAGGAGCCUGCGCCCGAUUAGCUAGCUGGUGGAGUAACGGUUCACCAGGGCGACGAUCGGUAGCUGGUCUGAGAGGACGAUCAGCCACACUGGGAUUGAGAACGGCCCAGACUCCGUACGGGGGGCAGCAGUGAGGAAUUUUCGUCAAUGGGGCAACCCUGAACGAGCAACGCCGCGUGCAGGAAGAAGGUUUUCGGAUCGUAAACUGCUUUUCGUCGGGAAGAGAACGGACGGUACCCGAGGAAUCAGCCCCGGCUAACUACGUGCCAGCAGCCGC
rnacentral:rRNA from 1 species